rnacentral:rRNA from 1 species
GAUGAACGCUAGCGGCAGGCCUAAUACAUGCAAGUCGAACGGGUGGUCGCAAGACCACUAGUGUCGCACGGGUGCGUAACGCGUAACCAACCUGCCCCGAUCUGGGGUAUAGCCCGCCGAAAGGCGGAUUAAUACCGCAUAUACCCGCAGCCUGGCAUCAGGCAACGGGGAAAGAUUUAUUGGAUCGGGAUGGGGUUGCGUGACAUUAGCUAGUUGGCGGGGUAAGGGACCACCAAGGCGACGAUGUCUAGGGGACCUGAGAGGGUGAUCCCCCACACUGGAACUGAGAUACGGGCCAGACUCCUACGGGAGGCAGCAGUAGGGAAGAUUGGGCAAUGAGCGAGAGCCUGACCCAGCCAUGCCGCGUGCCGGAUGAAGGCCUUCUGGGUUGUAAAUGGCUUUUCUCAGGGAAGAAAAAGACCUAGCGAGGUACACUGACGGUACCUGAGGAAUAAGCACCGGCUAACUCCGUG